rnacentral:piRNA from 1 species
CCGAUAUGUUCGGGGUCGCGAAAAGGC